AGGAGCUAUCUAGGGUAAAACUAGUAACUAGGGCUAAGUCGUAACAAGGUAGCCGUACCGGAAGGUGCGGCUGGAAUACCUCCUUUUAAGAG
rnacentral:rRNA from 1 species